rfam:Triticum aestivum genome assembly, contig: Triticum_aestivum_CS42_TGACv1_scaffold_222157_3B
UGUGUACUCCCUCCAUUCCAAAAUACUUGACUUCCAUUUGUCCAAAAAUGGAUGUACCUAUAUACUAAAACAUGUCUAGAUACAUAUAUAUUUUGACAAAUAGAAGGCAUGUAUUGUGCAAUGGAGGGAGUAGAAU